rnacentral:rRNA from 1 species
GAUGAACGCUGGCGGCGUGCCUAAUACAUGCAAGUCGAGCGAACAGACGAGGAGCUAGCUCCUCUGACGUUAGCGGCGGACGGGUGAGUAACACGUGGAUAACCUACCUAUAAGACUGGGAUAAAUUCGGGAAACCGGAGCUAAUACCGGAUAAUAUAUUGAACCGCAUGGUUCAAUAGUGAAAGACGGUUUUGCUGUCACUUAUAGAUGGAUCCGCGCCGCAUUAGCUAGUUGGUAAGGUAACGGCUUACCAAGGCAACGAUGCGUAGCCGACCUGAGAGGGUGAUCCGCCACACUGGAACUGAAACGCGGUCAAGACUCCUACAGUAGGCAGCAGUAUGGAAUCUUCCGCAAUGGGCGAAAGCAUGACGGAGCAACGCCGCGUCAGUGAUGAAUGUCUUCGGAUCGUAAAACUCUGUUAUUAGGGAAGAACAAAUGUGUAAGUAACUUUGCACUUCUUGACGGUAUCUAUUCAGAAAGCCACGGCUAACUACGUG